rnacentral:tRNA from 1 species
GCCUGGGUGGCUCAGUCGGUUAAGCAUCUGACUUCAGCUCAGGUCAUGAUCUCGCGGUCCGUGAGUUCAAGCCCCGCGUCGGGCU